GCUUGUUGGUGAGGUAAUGGCUCACCAAGGCGUCGACGGGUAGCCGGCCUGAGAGGGUGACCGGCCACACUGGGACUGAGACACGGCCCAGACUCCUACGGGAGGCAGCAGUGGGGAAUAUUGCACAAUGGGCGCAAGCCUGAUGCAGCAACGCCGCGUGCGGGAUGACGGCCUUCGGGUUGUAAACCGCUUUUAGUAAGGAAGAAGGGGCCUUUGGGUCUUGACGGUACUUGCAGAAAAAGGACCGGCUAACUACGUGCCAGCAGCCGCGGUAAUACGUAGGGUCCGAGCGUUGUCCGGAAUUAUUGGGCGUAAAGAGCUCGUAGGCGGUUUGUCGCGUCUGCUGUGAAAAACUAGAGGCUCAACCUCUAGCCUGCAGUGGGUACGGGCAGACUUGAGUGGUGUAGGGGAGACUGGAAUUCCUGGUGUAGCGGUGGAAUGCGCAGAUAUCAGGAGGAACACCGAUGGCGAAGGCAGGUCUCUGGGCACUUACUGACGCUGAGGAGCGAAAGCGUGGGGAGCGAACAGGAUUAGAUACCCUGGUAGUCCACGCCGUAAACGUUGGGCGCUAGAUGUGGGGACCUUUCCACGGUUUCCGUGUCGUAGCUAACGCAUUAAGCGCCCCGCCUGGGGAGUACGGCCGCAAGGCUAAAACUCAAAGGAAUUGACGGGGGCCCGCACAAGCGGCGGAGCAUGCGGAUUAAUUCGAUGCAACGCGAAGAACCUUACCAAGGCUUGACAUAUACGAGAACGCGCCAGAAAUGGUGAACUCUUUGGACACUCGUAUACAGGUGGUGCAUGGUUGUCGUCAGCUCGUGUCGUGAGAUGUUGGGUUAAGUCCCGCAACGAGCGCAACCCUCGUCGCAUGUUGCCAGCACGUUAUGGUGGGAACUCAUGUGAGACUGCCGGGGUCAACUCGGAGGAAGGUGGGGAUGACGUCAAAUCAUCAUGCCCCUUAUGUCUUGGGCUUCACGCAUGCUACAAUGGCCGGUACAAAGGGCUGCGAUGUCGUAAGGCGGAGCGAAUCCCAAAAAGCCGGUCUCAGUUCGGAUUGAGGUCUGCAACUCGACCUCAUGAAGUCGGAGUCGCUAGUAAUCGCAGAUCAGCAACGCUGCGGUGAAUACGUUCCCGGGCCUUGUACACACCGCCCGUCAAGUCAUGAAAGUCGGUAACACCCGAAGCACGGUGG
rnacentral:rRNA from 1 species